UAUAUAUGUAUAUAUGUAUAUAUAUAAGAUUGGACACAUACAACGAACACAUACAUUAUCUUCGUCCAAUUCUUCGUUUUCCACGUCGUUAAAUUUUUCUUCAACACAGAAGAAGAACAACGCGGAAUUAAAGAGAUCCGGAGGAACGACGAUCUGGCCGCGUGGCCAGCCAGCCAGCCAGCAUUCUCUCUCCUACGCAUCUUCUACUUCACCAGGUGUCCUCGGACUACUGCUCGCCUUCGAUAAGCGAUGGAGGAUCGCGACGAUAAUCCCGGGACAUCAUCAAGAAUAAGAUCCACCGAGAGUAUGAUUGCUCUCGCACGCUAAAAGGAGGAUGCGCACGAACAGAGAGAAAGAGAGAAAGAGAGAGGAAGAGAGGGGGAGAGAGAGAGAUAGAGAGAGAGAGAGAGGGAGAAAGAAAGAUACAUCAUUGGACGUAAAAUCGAUCUGAUGUAUCACUAAUGAACGGGCAACCUGAAGGGGGUUUUAUAAUCAAACCUGAAAGGAACUCAUAGAGGUUCUCUUAUUCUAUCUAAGGUUUUCGAAAGGAGAAGAAGAAGAAGAAGAAGAAGUAGAAGAAGAAGAAGUGCAAAAAAGAAAGGAAGGGAGAGAUAAAGAGAGAGAGAGAGGGAGAGAGAGAGAGAGAGAGACAGAGAGAGAGAGAGAGAGAGAAGAUUGAAGAAAAGACGAUGGAACUGUAUCAAGAGGAACAGCAACAACAGGAACGACUGCAGAAGCAGCGUCACCAGCGACAGCUGGUAAUAGAGACAAAGUUCGUUGACGUAAAGCCGAUUAAGUAUCGCGUCGUUCGUGCGAGAAUUGUACUGUGAUCGGCUUGAUAGACCUGUUACUAAAAAAUCGAAAGAGAUAGAUAGAUAGAUAGAGCGAGAAAGAGAGAGAGAGAGAGAGAGAGAGAGAGAGAGAGAGGGAGGGAGAGGGAGAUAUAUAUAUAUAUAUAUAAAUAUAAAGAGAGAUAAAAGAUAGGUCGAAGAGAGUUAGAAAAACGGCUGGACGAUGCAUCACAGUGGAGGUGUUGGUUACGGCAGUGGCCCUCAGGAACGAGUACAUCAGGUGCCUCGUACUGGUACCCAAACCGACAAGUAUCCUUUCGAAGGUUAUCAAGGACAGAUACCGGAUUGCUGUGCCGCGGCUGCGGCUGUCCAGGAUCCCUAUCCUAGACCGCCGAGCGGUUACGAUGGCAGGUGCUACGAUGAAUAUCAUCGUACUACGCCUUAUCAGGACGAUUCCUAUUCUCAGGAUGUGCCCCCAACCUUCCAUCGACCCCAGUCCAGACUGGGAUACGAGGAAUGUCCACAAUCUCGCGUGGGAUAUACCUCGGAUUCCAGGUGUGCCAGUGGACUUGGGUACGAUGACACGGGCGGGGGUUACCUGGAUCAGACUGACCCAAGGAUGUAUUGCACCGGCGGUUAUUGCAUGGGGGAUACGAUGAUGGCCACUAGCAGAGGUGUCUGCGGCGAGGAAGUUGAACUUGACAUGCGGAGGCAUAUUCAAGCUUGUGCCUGCACCUGUAAUCAUAUGGGAUACGGAAAUUACAUGGACUAUCAGACUACGUGCCUAACACAACUGCCAGACGUGGCACCGUGCAAUGGCACCGUGCGACUACCACCACCGUGCGAGGACUCGCCAAGUAGUGGAAGCAGCAAGGAUCGCAUGGAUGAGAGUCCUCGUAGAAGAUGCCGAGUCUUAACGCCUAUCCUUCUUCUGAUAGCGGCAUUGCUUCUUGGUGGUUUAUGCUUACCACUCCUGUUACAAUCCGUACCUGUCACGCAUCAGCAGAGACUGGACGUGAUAAGAAGGAUUCUCACUGAAGUGCCUCUAAUCGAUGGGCAUAACGAUUUGCCCUGGAACGUGAGAAAGUUCGUACAUAAUCAACUGGGCGAGGUUAACUUGAGUAGCGAUCUCGGUAGAGUGGACCCUUGGGCCAGAUCGGAUUGGAGUCAUACAGAUAUUCCUAGAUUGCGCGCUGGCCUCGUUGGUGCACAGUUUUGGUCCGCCUACGUUCCCUGUGAUGCGGCACAGCUAAACGCAGUUCAACUUUCUCUAGAACAAAUCGACGUAAUUCGUCGGCUCGCCGAGAUGAAUGCUCAACACUUAACUCUGGUUACUUCUGUCAAGGGCCUGAUCGAGGCACAUCGCGAUGGAAAAAUUGCAAGUCUGAUAGGAGUUGAAGGUGGUCAUUCUCUUGGGAACUCCUUGGGCGUUCUCAGAACGUUUUAUGGCCUGGGGGCACGAUAUCUUACUUUGACACAUGCUUGUGACACUUCCUGGGCAGUAUGUUCAGUUGGCGAAACGAAUAACACUCAAGAUGAGACACCUGGGCUCAGCGAAUUUGGAAAGGCGGUGGUAAGGGAAUUGAAUAGGUUGGGCAUGCUGGUGGAUCUCUCUCAUGUUUCCACAAGGACGAUGAGAGCAGCACUGCAAACGACCAGGGCACCAGUGAUUUUCUCUCACAGUGCGGCAAGGGCACUCUGUAAUUCCAGUAGAAAUGUACCGGACGACGUACUCAGGAAUCUAGCAAAAAAUGGUGGAGUAGCGAUGGUUCCGUUUUAUACGUAUUUCAUAACGUGCAACAACACCGCCACCAUUAAGGAUGUUAUUGCACUCCUACUGGCCUGGAAGAUGUAUCAAGAUACCCUCAAUUACUGGCGACGCUGUUAGAGGAUCCAUCGUGGACCGAAGAAGACAUCAAAAAAUUAGCUGGCCUCAAUUUACUAAGGGUAUUCGCUAAAGUCGAACAGGUACGCGAUGAAUGGCACAGAGCUGCGGUUUUACCAGUGGAUAAAAUUAGUCCACCAGAUAAUUCGGCCUGUGCAUACGGAGCAUCCUGAUCCUCUUCCUUACGUGCGUUGACAUCAGGAUAUUUGGAGUUCAUACGAUCGUCGAAAAUACGACAUGCCUUGCGCUUCUAUAAGACCUAUUAAGAAGUGCAAACAUAAGGGAAGAAAAGAAAAGAAAAGAAAAGGAAAGAAAAGAAAAGAAAAGAAAAGAAAAGAAACCGAGAGUUUGUUCCUUUAUGAAAAAAAAAGAAACACAAAAAAAAACAAAAAAAAAAAAAACUCCUUCCUGGUCUUCCAAAGACCCUAUCGCGCCUUAAUGGAAAAAAAAAAAGAAAGAUUGAUGGUUAUUACAUAAUCUGGGAAAAAAAAAAACGAACACCUUCAGAACAUGUACGUUUCCUCUGUCAACGACUAUCUCUUUCUAUUUCCUCUAACUAAAAUAUAAUACGACGAAUAUAUAGUGAGAUUUUAUUUUAAUUUUCAUCAAUUUUCAUGUGUGAGUUAUCUUCUUUUAUAUAUACAUAUAAAUAUACAUACGUAUACAUUUAAAUCACGUAGAAAAUUCUUCUAACAAAAUGCUCACACAUUUGAUAACAUUUUAUUAAUACGUUCUGAAGGUGUAUUAUAUACAUGUGUAUAUGCAUGCAAGGAUCAAUGUCCUUUCGUGAAUGACUUCCAUAGAUGCGGACAAUCGACAAUGACAGAAUCACUUUUUUUUUUUGAGAGAGAGAAAGAGAAAGAGAGAGAGAGAGAGAGAGAGAGAGAGAGAGAGAGAGAGAAAGAGAGAGAAAUGAACCAGCGCCAGGCCCGGCGAUUUUAAAAAGAGUCUGAGACUAAUGAUUUUUUUAUACUUUUAUCUUCGAGUAAGUAAUCCAAUAAGCUCUGCGACGAUGAGAAUCUAAUCUACAUGUAAUUGGUAGGAUACACGCGAUAUAUUCGAUUUCUGUGCGUAAGGAAUUUUACGAAAAAUCAAUUCGAACGUAAAUCAAUUUGUAUAUAUAUAUAUAUAUAUAUAGAUAUAUAUAUAUACCUACGUAUUGCAAUAAGAAGAAAGAAUUUAUUUGUAAUAUUUGUCAAAGUUAACUUCUUCUUCAUUUUUCUACUGCCGGGAAGGAUCAUUAGAGAUACCAUUAAUACGUGCAAUACAAGGUACAAAGUUUGACCAGUUGACACACAAUUUAUUAAAUAUACGUCGAAUGAUCGAAGUUGAACCAAAAGAAAAAAAAAAAGAAAAAAAAGAAAAAAGAAAAAAAAAAGAAAAUAAGCAAGAAAAAAGAAGGUAAGAAAAGAAAUAAGAAAGAAUAUAAAUUAAAUGCUUUUAAUAUUAAGUUCGAGGCAACAGUGGAAAAUCGUUAUCACAUAUCUUAAUAAUUUAACAUUUGGCUUCCAUUGUGCUUCUAAUUCUUUAAUCAGUAUUCCAAAAGUCUGGUAUUAAGAAGCUCACGUUUACCUUCGAGCAUAACCAUUAGCAUGAAUUAAUCGAUCGGAUUAUAUUGAAAGGUACAUAGUGAAGAAACAAUUUUAUAAUUAGAAAAAUAAAUUCUAAUGACUCGCUUCUGUUAGUGAAAGAAAACAAUAAGAAAGAAAAAAAAAAGGAAAAAAGAAAAAACGAAAAAAGAAAGAAAGAAAAAAAUGUCUAAUUCUAUCCAUGUAGGUAUGUUAGCUUUACCUUUGAAAAAAAUUACUUUAACAGACUAGUAUAAUGAAGAUCGACCUAUUAACGUCAUCAUCAACAUUAAACACUGCCGAGCCGCACCAUUCAUUCUAUAAUAAUAUCCUUCAAAAUAUCAACAUCAUUCGAAAUAAACUAUUAAUAAAUUAACGUACCAACAGUUUUGAAGCUAGCAAUAAAUAUUUAAUUUCGUGCCAAUGAAGAAGAAAAAAAAAGAAAAGAGAAAAAUGGUCGCGGCGUUUGAAAUGUUUCUAAUACGUCUUGUAUAAUAAAACUACAACCUACGCACUUUCAUACGCAUAAAUCAUACGUAACUUAAUAAUAUCGAGUGAGAUAAACGAUUAAGUAUUCUAAUUUCUUAUAAUUAAAUUUUGAAACUUAUUACGUUCGUAUCCAAUUGUUUAUUUUAUAAUAAUAUGUCAUUUAUAUGUUUUUAUUGUAAAUAAUCCUAUGUAAAAUUAGAGAAGAAAUAUAUUUCACAUUUUAUUACUGAACCAUUUAAAAGAAAAAAAAAAAAAAAAAAGAAACAAAAAAAAAACAAAAAAAAGAAAAAGAAAGAAAAAUAAGACGAUAACUUAAUCGUUUAUUGUAACUUUUGCAAAAUAGUAUGCAUGAAUAAUCGAUAAGAGUCGGUAAUGAUAAAUAUGUAUUAUGUGAGUAGAGAAAAGAAUCGGAAGGAUUAAUGCUAUAUACAAUGUGUAUGUGUAUGUAUGUGUGUAUAUGUGUGUGUGUGUAUAUAUAUAUAUAUAUGUAUAUAUAUAUAUAUGUAUAUAUAUACAUACGUAUACACAUAUUAUACUUACGUAUGUAUGAGAAUGUAAUUAACAUUUCAUUUACAUGACAUUUUGUCAUUUAAAAUGUCAAACAUACCAAUAAUGCAUGAGAACCUUAUACGAGUCUGGAAGUAUAUUUUACUGUUUAUAAAGCGCCUUUUUUUUAUUCGAAAAAGAAUGUUUUCAAGAUGACCUUAACGAAAUAUCACGAUAAUAUUAUAAAGAAGGCGUUCGAGAACAUAUUUACACAUAUAAAUGAAAGAUAAAUAACAACAAAAAUGAAAUGAAAAGAAAUGGAAAAUAGAACACAAAUAAUAAUGAGAUCAUGUAUAGCCUAGACCCUAGUCUGUCAUAGCUUUUACGAUAUUUCCACUUUUCUUACUUUUUUGGAUAAAGCACACGGUUCGUUGCGCGUGCGAGGUAUUUUGUAUUAGGUACCUAUAUUCAAUACUAUUUUUUCUCUAUACAGUAUAUCAUAUUGAAAUUAGAACUUACUCGAUUAUCUUGAAUAAUCGAAAAUAUGUAGUGAAAGAGAAGAAAAAAAAAACAAAAAAAAAAAAGAAAAAAAAAAAAAAAAAAAAAGAAAUAGAAAAAGAAAAAGAAACACAUAUUUCUUUUCAUCGAGUUUAAUGAUUAUUAAAAUUGUAUAUGAAUCGAGUGGGAUAUAAUUCCAAUAGAGAUAUUCUGUAUAGAUGAAAGAGAAAAGGAAAAAAGCUAUGCGCCUUCAACGACUCGUAACAAAAAAAGAAAGAAGAAAAAAAAAAGAACAAAAAAGAAAACAAAAAAAAAGGGAAAAAAUAAGAGAGAAAAAGAAAAAAAAGAGAGACACACGUUUUAUGAAGUUUUGACAUGAUGAAACUUGAUCGAUCGACGGGAUAUAUUGGAUAAACAAUUUUGAUAAACCGACGAGAUAUUACAAUUUUGUCAGAACUGUAAGUACCUACCAUUAAAUCACGCGCGAUUUAUAAGAAACGUAUUGUUCACUAUUUUCUUGCAAAAAAAUUAGAGAAUUUCGGAAACGAUUAAACUGUAGUAAGUACACUUUUCUCUCGAAGUAUAGAUAACAAGUAAAAAAAAAAAAAAAAGAAAAAAAAAAAGGAAAGGAAAAAAAAGAGAAGAAGCAAAAAAGGAAAAGGAGGAAAAAAGAAAGAAAGAAAGAAAGAAAGAAAUAAAAGAAAAAGAAAAUGAGGACGAAGACGGUAGAGAAAAAUGAUGAUGAUGAUGAUGAUGAUGAUGAUGAUGAUGAUGAUGAUGAUGAUGAUGAUGAUGAAAAUGAGAAAAAUGAAAAGACAGAAUAAAAGGCUUGGCAUUUCCUUAAGGCUGAUAAAAAAAAAUAAAUAAUAUUUAACACGGACACGAUGAAAGGCAAAGAGUUAAUUGCAAUUGACGAUAAAUUUCUUAGUAAAAAUGCAAACGCAGACAGAUUAACAUUAGCAGCAGCAAUAAAGUGCACGCAAACGUAGUCGACAAUUAAUAGCAUAAAAUAUUGAACGAUUUAUAAUUCGUAAAGGAUAAGUCUAAAUAAAAUAAAUAUUAAUGCAAUCAAGAUAUAUCAGACGUCGUCCUUUCGACGUGAUAAAAGAAGAAGAAAAAAAAAAGAAGAAAAAAAUAGGAGACGAAGAAGAAGAAGAAGAAGAAGAAGAAGAAGAAGA